AAACAUUUUAACUUUCCCUUUUCUCAAUUGCAGAUUCAACGUACUGAUCCAACAAUCAAUAAUGGCACGGUGAGUCUGCUGUGGGAGCUUUGUGCUUUUGUCUCCAUAUUUUAUUGGUGCCUCCAGCCAUCUUUCUCUUUUAUUUUACUGGCUUUGGGGCUCGUUCUUUAGCUCUUGAAAUGUACUUCUCUCCUUUAUUUCUCCAAUAAAUGUCCCAGCUCUUGCACCUGUUCCACUCAUUAAUGUGCCCUUCACUCUGCACCAAAUCAAACCUGUUUCUCCCCAAAAUGCUUCAUGUUCUCCCCAUGUUUGAGGCUUAUAGGAUGAGAGUAGCCAUGUGAAUGCUACACCCGUGAAAAGACCAAACCCACUGGCUCGGAUAUGUAAAAAGAGAAAGACCAAGGAAUCAGAGAAGAUUGCCGGUACCGUAUCUAAUCCUCCUUUUGGGCCUGGUUCUGUCAUGCGCGGAAGCGCUUACAGGGUCUCUGCCAAAGGCUCAUUUUCCAGGAGAACAAACAUGGCGCUCAUGCAAUGUCAUUUGCCUUUUGCAGCCUCUCCCACACAUGCAACUCCCAGUGAGAUUGUUAUGCCUCCGAGAGAAGGAGAGGAAAGGGAGAAGACAAUUGUAGACGUGGUUGAGAUCGCUCCUGGUAGUCCUUCUAGUGGCUCAGGAAGCAAUAUAUUGCUUGGUCAAGAGAGAAAGACAUCUCUCCAGUGAAGCUUGAAAUAGCAGAACUGUCCCAAAAGGAGAUAGAAAUCGAGAUUAAUCAAGACGCAACUGAAAGCGAGGGGAUUCCCUCAAAUGCCAAUGAGGAAGAUGAAAAUGCGCCUCCUGCUGUUAUUGAGAGGCUUUCUGAUGAUCCCCCUGCUGAGUCCGCAAUUAGAACUGAAUGUGCGGAACCUGAAAAUGAAGCAAUUCAUUUUAACUCCAUUUUACCUCCACAGUAUAAGGAGUAAGUUGAAAUAUUGCUAUUAUCACGUGACGGCCUCAGCGUCGGACUGGGGUGUGCCCAUAGAGAGAGUUGAUUUGUAAUGAAGUCUCACUGGGGAAUAGUAUUGUUUAAUGAACACUGAUUCCCUUCCCACAUUGU